rnacentral:rRNA from 1 species
AUGACUAGGGAUAACCUUAGGAAGAGACACAUCAUCAAACCCCUUGAUUAUGUUUACUGCUUGGAACAAGAGUCUUGUUCUCACCUAUUUUUUGAAUGUAUAGUUGCUAAACAUCUCUGAGCCCACAUUGAGGAAUAUUUCUCUAGUCAGAUUGGCUCAUCCUUCGAAUUUGUCGCCAGAUUCUGGAUUGCUACCAGAAAGUGCUCAGUUUUAAACACUAUUAGGUCAGCUCUCCUUUGGUACCUCUGGAAAUAUAGAGAUGCUAUGAUUUUCAGUAACACCUCCUGGAUUUCCAUUCCACAGGUCUUGAGGUUGAUCAGGAACAUGGUGAGGAACUAGGCGAUUCUCUCCUCCGGAUCGGACAAGGACAAGUUGACGUGCUUCGUGGAAACCCUAACAAGAUCCGUCCAAAAACCAUUGGUGAUCACUUGUGGCUGA